rnacentral:rRNA from 1 species
UAAUACAUGCAAGUCGAACGCUUUUUCUUUCACCGGAGCUUGCUCCACCGAAAGAAAAAGAGUGGCGAACGGGUGAGUAACACGUGGGUAACCUGCCCAUCAGAAGGGGAUAACACUUGGAAACAGGUGCUAAUACCGUAUAACACUAUUUUCCGCAUGGAAGAAAGUUGAAAGGCGCUUUUGCGUCACUGAUGGAUGGACCCGCGGUGCAUUAGCUAGUUGGUGAGGUAACGGCUCACCAAGGCAACGAUGCAUAGCCGACCUGAGAGGGUGAUCGGCCACACUGGGACUGAGACACGGCCCAGACUCCUACGGGAGGCAGCAGUAGGGAAUCUUCGGCAAUGGACGAAAGUCUGACCGAGCAACGCCGCGUGAGUGAAGAAGGUUUUCGGAUCGUAAAACUCUGUUGUUAGAGAAGAACAAGGAUGAGAGUAAAAUGUUCAUCCCUUGACGGUAUCUAACCAGAAAGCCACGGCUAACUACGUGCCAGCAGCCGCGGUAAUACGUAGGUGGCAAGCGUUGUCCGGAUUUAUUGGGCGUAAAGCGAGCGCAGGCGGUUUCUUAAGUCUGAUGUGAAAGCCCCCGGCUCAACCGGGGAGGGUCAUUGGAAACUGGGAGAC